rnacentral:rRNA from 1 species
CGUGCGGCAACAGAAAAAGCUAGUACAGUUUUUGCUGGCAAGCGGCGAACGGGUGAGUAAUAUCUGGGGAUCUACCCAAUGAAGAGGGAUAACUGUUGGAAACGACAGCUAAUACCACAUAAUGUCGAUAGACCAAAGCGGGGGAUUAUAUUUUUAUAAAUAUAACCUCGUGUCAUUGGAUGAACCCAGACGAGAUUAGCUUGUAGGUAAGGUAAUGGCUUACCUAGGCUACGAUCUCUAGCUGGUCUGAGAGGAUGGACAGCCACACUGGAACUGAGAUACGGUCCAGACUCCUACGGGAGGCAGCAGUGGGGAAUAUUGCACAAUGGGGGAAACCCUGAUGCAGUCAUGCCGCGUGUGUGAAGAAGGCCUUAGGGUUGUAAAGCACUUUCAGCAGGAAAGAAGUUUACUUAUAUUAAUAAUACAAGUAAAUUGACGUUAACUGCAAAAGAAGCACCGGCUAACUCCGUGCCGGCAGCCGCGGUAAUACGGAGGGUGCAAGCGUUAAUCGGAAUUACUGGGCGUAAAGAGUACGUAGGCUGUUUGUUAAGUCAAAUGUGAAAUCCCUAAGCUUAACUUAGGAAUGGCAUUUGAAACUGACAUACUAGAGUCCCGUAGAGGGGAGUAGAAUUCCAGGUGUAGCGGUGAAAUGCGUAGAUAUCUGGAGGAAUACCAGUGGCGAAGGCGACUCCCUGGACGAAGACUGACGCUCAGGUACGAAAGCAUGGGGAGCAAACAGGAUUAGAUACCCUGGUAGUCCAUGCCGUAAACGAUGUCGAUCUGAAGGUUGCAGAUUUUAAAUUGUGACUUUCGUAGCUAACGCGUUAAAUCGACCGCCUGGGAAGUACGGCCGCAAGGCUAAAACUCAAAUGAAUUGACGGGGGCCCGCACAAGCGGUGGAGCAUGUGGUUUAAUUCGAUGCAACACGAAGAACCUUACCUACUCUUGACAUCCAAAGAACUUAACAGAAAUGUUUUGGUGCCUUAGGGAACUUUGAGACAGGUGCUGCAUGGCUGUCGUCAGCUCGUGUUGUGAAAUGUUGGGUUAAGUCCCGCAACGGGCGCAACCCUUAUCCUUUGUUGCCAGCGAUUUUAGUCGGGAACUCAAAGGAAACUGCCAGUGAUAAACUGGAGGAAGGUGAGGACGACGUCAAGUCAUCAUGGCCCUUACGAGUAGGGCUACCCACGUGCUACAAUGG